AUUGCUUUUUGGUUCUUAAGAGUGAACACUGGAUACUCAUGUCACUGCAUGGCAUGUGACUCUCACAAACCUGGUUAGGAUGCUGGCACAUUACCUGUCAAGAAG
rnacentral:snoRNA from 1 species